UUUUAUUAUAUAAAAUGAUCAAACCAUUUUAUAUUUGUUACAUGCAAGCUGAAAAAAAUGUCUGAUAAUCUCAAGUUUGUUUAUAUUUUGACCCUUUUUGUUUCUCUAUUUCUCGUUGUAGUUCUUGGUCAAAGAGAGUGUAAUACUGACGAAGAAUGCCAUAAAAAAUUUCCACUUGCUUCUGCACCAAUGACAUGCUACGAAGGUUAUUGUUAUUUCAAAAAUUCAUCAAUGAACUUUAAUGUUAAAAGAAAUUGAAUUUUCAAAAUAUGUUGGAGAUUUAUAUCUAUAUCCUAUAUCAUAUCCUAUCCUAUAUCCUAUAUUAUUAACAAAUGACACCUUAUUCAUGCAAUAUCGACGCGUGUACUUUCCAUUUAUGCAUUGAUGAUGUGAUAAUUUUUAUUAAAUAUUAAAUAAAAUAUAUUUUAUAAUUA